GAUGAACGCUGGCGGCGUGCUUAACACAUGCAAGUCGAACGGAAAGGCCCUUGCUUGCAGGGGUACUCGAGUGGCGAACGGGUGAGUAACACGUGGGUGAUCUGCCCUGCACUUCGGGAUAAGCCUGGGAAACUGGGUCUAAUACCGGAUAGGACCAUCGCUUAGUGUCGGUGGUGGAAAGUUUUUGCGGUGUGGGAUGGGCUCGCGGCCUAUCAGCUUGUUGGUGGGGUAAUGGCCUACCAAGGCGUCGACGGGUAGCCGGCCUGAGAGGGUGUACGGCCACAUUGGGCCUGAGAUACGGCCCAGACUCCUACGGGAGGCAGCAGUGGGGAAUAUUGCACAAUGGGCGCAAGCCUGAUGCAGCGACGCCGCGUGGGGGAUGACGGCCUUCGGGUUGUAAACUCCUUUCGUCAGGGACGAAGCGAAAGUGACGGUACCUGGAUAAGAAGCACCGGCUAACUACGUG
rnacentral:rRNA from 1 species